ensembl:lncRNA
GCUGGAUAUGCCUGUCACUGUCUCCAUCACACACAGCAAUCCCUUUACCCUCCACAUGGUUGCCACAGGGCAGCUAUACCUCCCCUUCCCAACAGAACACCACACAACUCAUUGGGCCAGUUUCUAACAAUAUCCUUCUUUCAGCCCCUUCAAACCUAACCUGUAUCAAUUACUCUAGCUCCAACUACACUGGUCUCACAAACCACUCCCUCCUUUUGUUCCACUUGGGUUCUCUGGAACAGCACAAAUAAUUGCACCAACCCGGGAAUCUUCAUUCUCUGUGGGACCUACGCAUAUUCAUGUCUCCCCCCGACCCCUGGAUCUUGCAUCUUGGUCUUCCUGACCCCAGGUCUAACAAUCCUCAAAGAAGAAGAGAUACAACAGAUAGUCAACCCCCAAGUGGAACAUUCCCACAGGAAAAAAUGAGCUAUCGUGGCCCCCCUCCUGAUUGGGACUGGCAAUAGCAGCAGCCCUGGGCACAGGGAUUGGGGGCAUCUCGACCUCGGCCCAUUUCUACUACAAGCUGUCCCAAGACCUUAAUGAGGAUAUGGAGCAGGUUUCUCCAAGACCGGAUUUGGGCCAUCUCUCAAGUCCAAGUCAAGACCAUCCUCCUUCUCAAGAGCCUCACCUCAACCUCGGGAAAAGGAGACCUUGGGCCCUAGGACAGGCCUCCAUUCCAGACCCAGAGCCAUCACCCCUACCCAGCAGGAAGUAGCCAGAGAGAUACGGUGCCCUUUCCCCCCAUCUUUUUAUGAUUUCAGGAUCUGGAAUGAAGGAGUCCUCAGGCCUGGAAAAAGGAGAUAACCACUUCAAAGGCCCAUGCUGGACCACCUGACUUCAGGGAAAACAAAACUGAACUUAAAGUCCCACCCUGAUACUCUGGCAGAUUGCACUAGCCCAAGACUUUCAACCCCCUGCCCCGGGACCCCCCACCCACCCCCGUUCAACCGCAAACUGCCAUCUCAGCUAAACAUUACUCAGAAUGCCCCGCCUGACCAAAUCUUCCGUAGCGCUUUCACAAACAUCCCCUUAAAUAUGAAGCCUCCCUGAUCCCACACGCUCAGCCUGGUCAUUAGAGCGACUGUCGCCCCUCCUUGCCUG